rnacentral:rRNA from 1 species
UAGGGAAUCUUCGGCAAUGGGGGGAACCCUGACCGAGCAACGCCGCGUGAGUGAAGAAGGUUUUCGGAUCGUAAAGCUCUGUUGUUAAGGAAGAACGAGUGUGAGAAUGGAAAGUUCAUGCUGUGACGGUACUUAACCAGAAAGGGACGGCUAACUACGUGCCAGCAGCCGCGGUAAUACGUAGGUCCCGAGCGUUGUCCGGAUUUAUUGGGCGUAAAGCGAGCGCAGGCGGUUAGAAAAGUCUGAAGUGAAAGGCAGUGGCUCAACCAUUGUAGGCUUUGGAAACUGUUUAACUUGAGUGCAGAAGGGGAGAGUGGAAUUCCAGGUGUAGCGGUGAAAUGCGUAGAUAUAUGGAGGAACACCGGUGGCGAGAGCGGCUCUCUGGUCUGUAACUGACGCUGAGGCUCGAAAGCGUGGGGAGCGAACAGG